GCAUAUUUAAUGCUGGCCAUGAUGGAAAGGUAUCAGAACACACAGUGCAUCAUAGUUUGCUCAGAGUGCCUAUAAUAUCUCCUGUCCUCUGCCGAAAGUGCCUUCAAUGGAGAUGUGAUCAUUAGAACUGGACCAUGGAGCAAUGGAAGGUCUGAUAAAUCUCAUUUUCUUUGUGAGCAGGUAAAUGACAUGGUGUGUGUGUGUUGUUUACCUGGGGAAGAGAUGGCAGCAGGAUGCACUAUGGGAAGAAGGCAGGCCGUUGAAGGCAGUGUUAUGCUUUUGGCAAUAAUUUGAUUGGAAACCUUUG